rnacentral:rRNA from 1 species
UGCAGUCGAACGAGAAAGUGGAGCAAUCCAUGAGUAAAGUGGCGACCGGGUGAGUAACACGUGACUAACCUGCCUUCGAGUGGGGGAUAACCUCGGGAAACCGGGGCUAAUACCGCAUAAUGCCUUCGGGUUAAAGGAGCAAUUCGCUUGAAGAGGGGGUCGCGGCUGAUUAGCUAGUUGGCGGGGUAACGGCCCACCAAGGCGAUGAUCGGUAGCCGGCCUGAGAGGGCGCACGGCCACACUGGAACUGAAACACGGUCCAGACUCCUACGGGAGGCAGCAGUGGGGAAUUUUGCGCAAUGGGGGAAACCCUGACGCAGCAACGCCGCGUGGAGGAUGAAGUCCCUUGGGACGUAAACUCCUUUCGACCGGGACGAUUAUGACGGUACCGGUGGAAGAAGCCCCGGCUAACUUCGUGCCAGCAGCCGCGGUAAUACGAGGGGGGCGAGCGUUGUUCGGAAUUAUUGGGCGUAAAGGGCGCGUAGGCGGUGCGGUAAGUCACCUGUGAAACCUCUGGGCUUAACUCAGAGCCUGCAGGCGAAACUGCCGUGCUGGAGUGUGGGAGAGGUGCGUG